rnacentral:rRNA from 1 species
CCUACGGGAGGCAGCAGUGAGGAAUAUUGGUCAAUGGGCGAGAGCCUGAACCAGCCAAGUCGCGUGAGGGAAGACGGUCCUAUGGAUUGUAAACCUCUUUUGUCGGGGAGCAAAAAGGCCUCGUGAGGCCACAAGUGAGAGUACCCGAAGAAAAAGCAGCGGCUAACUCCUUGCCAGAAGCCGGGGUACUACGGAGGAUGCGAGCGUUAUCCGGAUUUAUUGGGUUUAAAGGGUGCGUAGGCGGACUGGAAAGUCAGCGGGAAAAUCGAGAGGCUCAACCUCUUUCCGCCGUUGAAACUGUCGGUCGUGAGUGGGCGAGAAGUAUGCGGAAUGCGUGGUGUAGCGGUGAAAUGCAUAGAUAUCACGCAGAACUCCGAUUGCGAAGGCAGCAUACCGGCGCCCGACUGACGCUGAGGCACGAAAGCGUGGGUAUCGAACAGGAUUAGAUACCCCAGUAGUC